UAAAACGUAGGACACAAGCGUUAUCCGGAGUUACUGGGCGUAAAGGGCGUGUAGGCGGAUCGGUAAGUCUACUCUGAAAGCUCCUGGCUAAACUGGGAGAGGCGAGUGGAGACUGUCGGUCUAGAGUGAGGAAGAGGAAAGUGGAAUUCCGCGUGUAGUGGUGAAAUGCGUAGAGAUGCGGAGGAACACCAGUGGCGAAAGCGGCUUUCUGGUCCUUAACUGACGCUGAGGCGCGAAAGCAUGGGGAGCGAACGGGAUUAGAAACCCCGGUAGUCCAUGCCGUAAACGAUGUUCACUAAACGUUCGUUUCCCGCGAGGGAAGUGGGUGUUGAAGCUAACGCAGUAAGUGAACCGCCUGGGGAGUACGGUCGCAAGGCUA
rnacentral:rRNA from 1 species